UUAAGCCAUGCAAGUCAGCUGUCAGCAAUGAUGGCGGCAAAAGGCUCAGUAACACGUCGAUAACCUGCCUUUAGGUCUGGGAUAACCUCGGGAAACUGAGGCUAAACCCGGAUAGGAGAUUUUGGCUGGAAUGCAUUAUCUUUUAAAAGUAAUGCCUAAAGAUGGGUCGGCGGCUGAUUAGGCUGUUGGUGAGGUAAUGGCUCACCAAACCUAUGAUCAGUAGGGGGAAUGAGAGUUCUAGCCCCGAGAAGGACACUGAGACAAGGGUCCUAGCCCUAAGGGGUGCAGCAGGCGCGAAAACUUUACAAUGCACGUAAGUGUGAUAAGGGAAUCCCAAGUGCCAGUUCUUUUUGUAUUGGCUUUUGCCAAGUGUAAGUAGCUUGGCGAAUAAGUGGUGGGCAAGACCGGUGCCAGCCGCCGCGGUAACCCCGGCGCCACGAGUUGCAAUCACGAUUAUUGGGUCUAAAGCGUCCGUAGCCUGCUUCUUAAGUUCUUUGUGAAAUUGUUGUGCUCAACAUAACAACGCGCAAAGAAUACUGGGAAGCUAGGGACCGGGAGGAGUUAGAAGUACUCUAGGGGGAGUGGUAAAAUAUGAUAAUCCUUAGAGGACUGCCAGUGGCGAAGGCGUCUAACUAGAACGGGUCCGACGGUGAGGGACGAAAGCUAGGGGAUCAAACCGGAUUAGAUACCCGAGUAGUCCUAUGCUGUAAACGCUGCGAGCCAUGUGCUGCAUGUUCUUUGUGGACAUGCAGUGCCGUAACGAAGGUGUUAAGCUCGCCACCUGGGAAGUACGGUCGCAAGUCUGAAACUUAAAGAAAUUGGCGGGGGAGCACUACAAGGGGUGCGGUGUGCGGUUUAAUCUAACUCUACGCAGUGAAUCUCACCAGGAGCGACGGCAGGAUGAAGGUCAGAUUAAAGGUUUUACCUGACAAGCCGAGAGGUGGUGCAUGGCCGUCGUCAGCUCGUGCUGUAAAGUGUCCAGUUAAGUCUGGCAACGAGCGAGACCUGCACUUACAAUUGCCACCGACUGUUUCAACAGGAUCGAGCACAUUGUAAGGACUGCUCUCGAAAGGGAGAGGAAGGUGCAAGCAACGAUAGGUCUGUAUGCCCCGAAUCUUCUGGGCUACACGCGCGCAACAAUGGUAGGAACAAUGGGAUGCAACACCGAAAGGUGAAGCCAAACCUCUAAAUCCUAUCUUAGUUCAGAUUGAGGGUUGCAACUCACCCUCAUGACGCCGGAAUCCCUAGUAAUCGGACCUUAUCACAGUCCGGUGAAUACGUCCCUGCUCCUUGCACACACCGCCCGUCAAGCCACUCGAGCAGAGUCUAGAUGAGAAUUAACUUUGUUGGUUAAUCCGAAUCUAGGCCCAGUAAGAAGGGCUAAGUCGUCACAAGGUA
rnacentral:rRNA from 1 species